rnacentral:lncRNA from 1 species
AGCUAUGGAAAAUGUCAUGCUUCAUAAAAGAUACAGAAAGAUGGGUGAAACCAGAAAAAAAAACAUUGUUACUAAAAUUGAAGAUUGCAUUGGGAACUCAGAGAAGAAGAAAGUAUAAAAGAAACAUGAAAAGAACUGUAUCUUAAUAAUAAAAACACCAACAUGCACAAUCUAGACCUCACCCUUCCUACUGCUGUGACCCUUUAAUACAGUUCCUCUUGCUGUGCUGACCCCAACCAUAUGACUAAAAAAUAAAAAUACAUCUGUUUUUUUCUCCAGGAAACCAUCUGAAGCACAAAUGAGCAUCAACAGCCCCAGCCUUCUGGAUGGCGACAGUGCAGGCAAAAAAGUCAUGUGGGUAUCCCAGUUCAUGGAAAUUUACUAAUUGCAGAAUCCUGUCGGAAAGCUGUGUGAUACAGCAAUGGAUGCAGAGUUUGCCCAAGACAAGAGAGGGGAAGAAGUCGAGAAGGAAAUGAAGAGGGAGUUGGAUACCUGGAAGUCACAAGCCCUUGCCCUAUGUGAGGACUGCUCAGUUUGGGGAGAAUACCUGGAAGAAGCUGCCUGCCUCCCACCCCCUGGAGAGUGGGUGGUAUGCCUGUACCAAUGUGAGAUCACAGGGGUUUCACUCCUUUUUGUUUUGUUACCAGUGCAUCCAUAUCAGACAAGGUAAUAAGCCAAAAU